rnacentral:lncRNA from 1 species
GUACAAAAAAUUAAAGAGUGAGUAGCACUUGUAUCGAUCAGAGCUCUGGAAUAAAUAUCAUGGAUAGAAAGCAUUCCUUGGAUGAGGACUGAAGUGGUGAGGGCCCCAGGUUCAUCAAGGUGAUACGCAUGACCCUGGGCUACAAGUCUGGCCAUGUCCUUCGGCAACUGAGGGCAGUCUUUCACAAAGUGUUGAGUGCUUUUGCACUUAUAGCAAGCAUUGUUCAAAUGUCGACAGAGUUGAUCACCACGCAAGCAACCACAAUGCUGACAUUAUUAGGAAGAUUAGGCAGGUUAUCUAGUAAGUGGAGGUAGAGCAG